rnacentral:rRNA from 1 species
CAGCCGCCACGGGAAUACAGAGGGUGCGAGCGUUAAUCGGAUUUACUGGGCGUAAAGCGUGCGUAGGCGGCUUCUUAAGUCGGAUGUGAAAUCCCUGAGCUUAACUUAGGAAUUGCAUUCGAUACUGUGAAGCUAGAGUAUGGGAGAGGAUGGUAGAAUUCCAGGUGUAGCGGUGAAAUGCGUAGAGAUCUGGAGGAAUACCGAUGGCGAAGGCAGCCAUCUGGCCUAAUACUGACGCUGAGGUACGAAAGCAUGGGGAGCAAACAGGAUUAGAUACCCCGGUAGUCCCUGUCUCUUAUAC